AUACGUAGGUGACAAGCGUUAUCCGGAUUUACUGGGCGUAAAGGGCGUGUAGGCGGUCUUGCAAGUCAGAAGUGAGAUUCCUGAGCUCAACUCGGGCGCUGCUUCUGAAACUGCAGGACUUGAGUGCUGGAGGGGAUAGCGGAAUUCCUAGUGGAGCGGUAAAAUGCGCAGAUUUUAGGAAGAACACCGGUGGCGAAGGCGGUUAUUGGGACAGUAGCGUGGGCUGGGGCGCUAAACCGUGGGGAGAAAUCAGGAUUAGAUGCCCUGGCAGCCCACGCGGUAAACGGUGGGCUCAAGGUGUAGGGGUCUUCCACGACUUCUGUGCCGUAGUUAACGCAUUAAGCGCCCCGCCUGGGGAGUACGGCCGCAAGGCUAAAACUCAAAGGAAUUGACGGGG
rnacentral:rRNA from 1 species